rnacentral:rRNA from 1 species
UACGAAGGUCCCAAGCGUUGUUCGGAAUCACUGGGCGUAAAGGGAGCGUAGGCGGUUAAGUAAGUCAGAUGUGAAAUCCCGGGGCUCAACCUCGGAACUGCAUUUGAUACUGCUUGACUAGAGUAUUGGAGAGGUAAGUGGAGUUCUCGGUGUAGCAGUGAAAUGCGUAGAUAUCGAGAGGAAGACCAAUGGCGAAGGCAACUUACUGGACAAUAACUGACGCUGAGGCUCGAAGGCUAGGGGAGCGAAAGGG